GCCGUGGUGGUGAAAUGGUAGACACGCUGGUUUUAGGAACCAGUGCCUUCGGGCGUGAGAGUUCGAGUCUCUCCCGCGGCA
rnacentral:tRNA from 1 species